CCAGAACAGUCCUUCACAUAUCCCCCAGCAAAGCCUGGCUCUUUCUCACCCACAAGCAAGAAGCACUAGUGCAGGAAGAGAAGGCGAACAUAAGCAAGUCAGGAGGGAGACUAAUGUAUGCACGUAUGUAUAUGGUUACUUUCAGGACAAUCUGACAAGACUAAUGAUGGUCUGAAGCUGGAGGCUCAAGGGUGGUGACUGGGAUGCUGAAGCACAGAAAGAAAGGAGCAAGAGCAAAGCCAUGCGAAAUCAUCUACUUGCAAGGAAAUCUACACUAUCCUGACCACCAAUAUGAACAGGAAUAGCAUACGCACACAGGAAACAUUUUCCUGUACUGUACUACGAAAUGCCACAACACAAGCAUGAUUCACUUGCUGAUCCAUGGUGCAAAAGAAAAAGCUCAAGAAGCAUGUAUUCUCAAUCAACAAUCAGGAAAUAAGGAUGGCUGCAGAUCCAUGACAUUUUUAAUUAUAUCUGCCCCUUGUCCUACUCUAUCCAAGAGGACUCAGUCUACAGCACUGUGGAAGGAGUCAAACAUUUUGGAAGACAAAUGCUGGAACCAGAAAGGGAAAUGCUGAAGAAGCCACUUGUCCAAAUAAAGAGCUCCAAUCACUUUCUCAUCGGGGAACAGCUAAAGAGGAUCAUGGCAGGGCACCAACAUUUUUGCCUCCACACCUUUCUAAUCUGGGCCACUCAUGGUGAUGGGAUGAGGGGAAGCACUAUGAGGAACAGCUGAGGUCACCUGGCUUGUUCAGCCUGGAGGACAGAAGACCAAGAGGAGACCUCAUUGCAAUCUGUAGCUUCCUCAUGAGGGGAGGGGCAGGGGCAGGAACUGAUCUCUUCUCUGUGGUGACCAGAGCAGCAUGAAGCUGUGUCAGGGGAGAUCUAAGAAAAGGUUCUUCACCUACAGGGUGGUUGGAUACUGGAACAGGCUCCCCAGGGAAGUGGUCACAGCACCAAGCCUGACAGAAUUCAGGAAGUGUUUGGACAACACUCUUAAGCACAUGGUAUGAUUCUCGAGGUGUUCUGUGCAGGGCCAGGAGUUGGACCUCAAUGAUCCUUGUGGGUCCCUUCUAUAAUUCUAUGAAAAUGUCUCCAAGUUGAUGAAAACACCCUAGGAGCUCACUGCCUCCUGCAAAAGCUAGGAAGAAUUUUAACAUUCUAAAAAGAGCAGGUUGCCUUACAUAUUCUUAGGAAAUUAGUGACAGUUUAUUUUCUCUCCAUUCCCCAGUCAACAUGCAAUGAGACCAGAAUAUAUGAUUAAUUAGCUCCUAGCUGAAAUCAACUCAGCUCAAGUUGUAAAUACUCUUUCGUGCAUACACAGUCUUCCAAAACACAGUAGGGACAAGAUGCCAAAACAACAAGAUGUCAGACUUUUUCAAUACGUUGGAAUGAUGAUAUCAACUACAGGACAGAAUCUCAGUUACUCAGUCUAUUAGCACAUAAGCUGAAAAGCUUUAGUUGAUUUCCUGCACUCCCUUAAAAAAAAAACAAAUCACAACUGAGUUUGGUCUAGGUGAAAAAUGGAAAAUCUAUCUCUUCAGGUGGUAUUUAUCUCAAUCCCUAGCAUGCUAACCCUUGACCAGUACAUCUAACUAUGUCCAAAAAUCCCACAGGUAUUCCAGCCAUCAAUGGACUCUACAAACUUCCACGAAAAAUGGGCUGGGAGGGAACUAUAUGUAAGAUGUGGUGAGAGCUGAGCCCACAAAAUCCCUAGGAUACAGUCAGGGUAUUCAUCUUUUAAUAGGUUUGUUGCUGCCUGGUGACAGAUGUUGCCUCCAGCCUGCAUCUGUCCAGAAAGCAAAAAUUUUAGCAGUGUUUAACAGAACUUCAAGCAAUAAUAAACCAAGACAGGAGAGUCCAUUUUCCUAGCUAAAUGAGCACAGGAAGGAUUAGCCCACUAAUCUUAUCACACACUUCCACCUGGACUGCAUUUUCUUGUCUCAAUUUUUUUCUUCUGUACCUGUUUAAAAACUCAUGUUUGGUUAGUCCAUUUCCACUGCAUUUCCAAACUCUUCGAACAGGUAUCUCAUUCCAGACAGGCUCUUUCCAGUAUUUCACCAACUGGCAAGGAACUGAUAACAGUCUUCUUAGUAAAAUGGUUGGCAUUAAAUCAGCAAGACUCAUAAUUUGAGAGCACGUAUCCCACAUUAUUUGACUAUGUGGUAAAUUAUGGAAUAGCCUAUAUACUCCAAUCCAUCUCACAAGCUACUACCACACUACUGCAGACAAGGGCUAUACACACAGGAGUUUGUGAUGGAGACUUUGUAGCCUGUAUAAGGCUUGCUUAGGCAAGCAGUGAAGAUAUCCUCCUGCUUUCUUGUUUCCCACCCAGAAAACAGUAAUCUUAGAUACUACAGUCUUUGGGGAAAACAGUGAGAGACAGUGCCCAAGGUACACAAAGAGGUAUGGCUACUGAAACAAGACAAGCACUAAAUAAGCCAGAACCCAAAAGGUAAGGGGGACAUCUCAUUCACGGGGCAGACAACAUACAGAGAAAGCAGGUCUUUUAAGAGCCCAUGCAACAUGGGUCAGAAAUUGGCAGCACAUAAAGAUCACGACUCAAUAACAGGACUCUGAAGAGACUCUGGGAAAAAAAGCAGAUAUGAAAACAGCCUCAAUAGAUGCAAUGAGCUCUUUCUCCUGCAUCUGGAAUAGAAAGGUGUGAAUUGCACCUCUGGCAAUAUGGAAAUUCGAACAUGCACAGUAACUGCAGUGCACUGAACCUGAUGUUCUCUUCUUUAGACCUACACUUUAAGACAGAAACAAUAUCAAUAUCUAUAUCUGCUUUUUACAGUAACUGAGAAGGAAGGGCUCUUCAGGUGUGCAGGCUUAUUUUUUCCACUCAGUCUACCGUGGCCUAGGCUACUGAAUAGAAAGGCAGCAUCUCUAGCUCCAAGCCCCUGAGAUGCCGAGGAGGCAGCCAGAGGCUGGAAAAGCACUUUGGCAGGGCACCCCUGCAAGAACAACACCCUGUGCUUUU